GACGGGAUGAAGGCGAGCGGCGUCAUCGGCGGCGUCAUCGGCUUCGUCAUCCUCCUCCUCCUCCUGCUGGCGGGGAGAGGGACCGCGGCCCUGCCCCCCCCGAGUCGUCGCUGGAACCAUCGUCCCCGGCCCCGAUGGGGGAUGGGCAGGCUCUGCUCCCCUUCGAGUCUCUGCUGAAGGUGACACCCCCGAGAGCGGGGGGGGGGACAAACAGGGCCCCCCCCAGCCGCCGCCGCCGCCGCCACGGCUCCCACUUCCCGCUCUGCUCCUUCUGCUGCAACUGCUGCCGCAACCGGGGCUGCGGCUUCUGCUGCCGGACCUGACCCCCCCCGGACCCCCCCCCACCCGCAGACACCCCCCCGACCCCCCCGCCCCCUCUCCCCACCCCCCCUCCCCUAUUUAUUACCCCCCCCCCUUUUCUCUGCUGGUUUCAUGGGAAUAAAGCGAGGGGGGGUUGGUUUU